GAUGAAGAAUUGUUGUUUGAUUGUUUUCAUCUUUUGCACAAUUGAUGUGUCAAAUGGCGGCAGUAAGUAUCCUGUAUCUUUAAAACGCUGUAGUGAAGAUUAAAGAUUAGGCUGCCUGACUCUCUCAUAAUAUUAAAAGUACGAUCCUUUCACUCUGAUCAAACGUUCUGCAUUCGGGAGCCAAAAUGAGACAGACAGAGUUAAAACCUUUUUAUGUCACAGAUAUUCAAUCAUGUUAACAAAUUAUCUACAAUUUGUUUUUAUAGUAAUUUGGGGAUACACACCUCUAGUUUACAACGAUAAUAUCAGUACUUUCGUCGAGCUACAGAGCUGUACAAAACUGUUCAACACUACUUUCCUAGGUUAACCUAAGAACAAUAACAAAAAAACUGUUUUUAAGAAGAACAAGUUUUAAAUCUUCUAAGCAGAGUUACGAGCAUCUCGAGCAAAUUCCGAAAAUUUUAUUCAUGAGAAAUCAUACUGCAACAACAAUAUAUAUAUAUAGACCUUUUCUUAAAAUUAACAAAAUUCUUCAUUGUGUCCUAUAUUCAACAUGGUUAAGCAAAUCAAUUUGAGAAAUAAACUAUGACUUUAUAUUUAUAUCCUGAUUGUGUAAUGUUAAUGUAUAUAUAUAUCAAAGUAAAUCAUGCUAUAUUUGUAUCGGAGUACUGUACUAUUCAGUUCUUUCUGGGAUAUGCCUCGCCUCCAAUGGUACCUGUGGAAAGAAAGGUGUUCCAUGUAAUGAGACAUUCGGGUCUGAAUGGACGUACAACGGAAAAUGCUGCAAUGGCAAACCAUGUUGCAAACGUAAGUAGACAAAUAAAGCAGGCAGUAGUGUUUGUCACUGUUGAUCAAAUCGAAUGAAUGCAAAGGAAUUUCAUAGACAUAGAUAGUUAUAUUUGGACAAAAAAAAAGAAACAUGGAACAGUUUUCAUUCCUUUUUUGAAAUAUUUUGCGCUCAACAACGACGAUGAUGGCGUUUUGUACACCCAACAAAGACAAAACAUCUAAGUAUGACAUGUUUGUACUUAAAAUAUCACAUUUGCAAUAUUCUAGUCGAAAAAAAGCAAUUAAUUAAAGUUGUUUCAGCUGCCAUUUUGUCCUUGAAGAUUUCGUAAUGUUUCAGAUUUUGAUACUGGAUGUCUCAUCUACUCACUGCUUAAAUUAACAAAUUGAAAGUAGGCACUCACUCACUAGUAUGUAUUUCAGUAGAAUAUUAUAAAUAUAUUGGAAUGUAUUGUGUAAAGAGCAAAUGUAUAAACGUCAUUGCCUAUACCAAGACAGGUGUACGACAGUUGUAAUCAUUUCAUUUGAUGUGUUUGGGCUUUUGAUUUAGCCAUUUGGCUUUUUCUGUAGACUUUUCCUCGGAGUUCAGUAUUUUUGUGAUUUUUUUGAAUUAGAAGACACAUCUCCUUUAAAACUCUUUUAGUUUAUCACAUAGAACUUGCAUUCUUCUGUAUAAUUUGAUUAUUUACUUAUAUAAUGUGUACCCUUAUUGUAAUGAGGUUUUAAUUUUAAUUGUUAUAUUUAAUAUCUUUAUAGAAAAAAGCGUAACACAUUGUUUCUAACUUUGCAAUAAAUGAUUUUUUUGUACACCAACAUUAAGAACGGUUUUAAUUAUUGUUUCUUUUUAAUUUUUGUACAAAUACAAGAAGAAAUAACCCAUCCAAAAUUCAAAAUAAUAAUUCCAUUUGUUUCCUUUUGUGAAAUCAAGUUUAAAAAUAUCGUUAUCACCAUUUUUUAAAUCAGCAUAAAGGUCAAAGGGAAACAACUGUAUUUCUUCGCUGGAAUUCGCUAUGUGCUUGAUUGCAAUAUGCAAAAUUAAAAAGAACAUCACAACUAAGGUAUUCUGUUCCUUUACAAAUUAUUUUAACGACAAAAGAGUAUUCCACUGCAAUAAUUGUACCCUUUAAAAACUUAAACUUUUACACAUAAAUCUGAUAUUUACUUGCAACGUAAGUAUUGCCCUUCCGUCUUUCUUUCCUUUCUGUUUUUCUUUUGUUCUUAUAUUCAUUUUAUUUAUUUAAAUCUCAUUUGUGGGGCUUCUGUUUCAUAACAGAUGUGAACAAAAAAAUGUCUAUGCAUUAAUUGCACAACAAGCUUGUCUGUUGUGGAGAGUGGUUUUAUUGCCAAUCAUUCCAAAGAAAUACCUGUAUAUUCUGUAUUUCAAUAUCCCUAUAUUAUGUUUGUUUCAUUCAAAAUUUCAAAAUGAAGGAAUAUAUUUUCCACAUGCAAAGCUUUGAUUCUUUGUCCAGCUUUGGCUAUAUGUUUGUAUCCGUUUUUUGGUUUAUAGCUCUUCAUGUCUUUAAUUAGCUUUCGUUUUACAAAUAUUUUGGCCUCGAGCAUCACUAACGAGACAUUGAUUGUCGAAAUGCGCAUCUGGUGCAGACAUUUGGUAUCGUUUAUGUUUAAAUGACGUUCUGCAACAUUUGAUCAAAGUGAUUUAUUCAUUACGUUAUUAUAAUUACGCCAUCGCUUCAUCUGUUUAUGUUUUAAUUGCGAUUACGGAUCAAAUUUAACCAAAUUGAUUUUUAGUGUUAAAAGCGCCAUGUGUUCCGGAAACUUGUCCAAAGGGGUUCGUUCUUUUAGCAAACCAGGCAAAUAGUGCUGAUUGUUAUUUCUAUAGUCGUAGUGGUAUUGAAACGUGGGAGACAGCCAGGGUGA
rnacentral:lncRNA from 1 species